UUAUCCCUAGAUGAUUGAUUUUAUAGAUUUCACUGGAGUAUUAGUCUUCGGCUGUUAGUGGAUUGCUUACUUUGAAAGCCAAUCAAAAUAACUAUUUUCCCAGGCGCAAGUUACCGACCAGUCGGCAGUCAACGAGCCUCCGGCCAAACCUUCCAGAGCUACCCUAGAAAUGGUACGCUGACUGGGUAGGCACUUUGACCCACACAUCUGGAUGUAGUUAUGUACCUUGCAACCUGAAUCAUUGCUUAUACCCGGCACCGACCACCUCGAGUUUUGCUGACAUAGCAACAGGAUGCCCCGACACCUCGCCCAGGAAAUGUGACACGAGCAGGCACUUCGAACGGAUUGCUAGAUAAUCAUUCUUUAUUUCAUCUUGUGUUAGUGUAUAAGCCCUUAUGUAUAGUAGCGGCUGCUUUUCGGCCACCGCUGAACCAUAUAUGAGGGGAGUCUAGAAAUUCACUUCAAACGUAGAAGACGUUCUUACUCUAUUUAAAUCGUAUUUUAUUCUAACAAAUAUCAAACUUGAGAUUCAAAAUAUCAAUUCUGAGGACUUACUGACGGAAAACUGGAACCCCCUUGGACCACUACCAACCGGAGCAGACACUUUAACUGUAAGAAACACACACACACACAGACUUAGGUGAAGUAUUCUUCUUCUCUAAACAAAAAUGCCAAGGUAUACAACGAGAAUAUAAUGCCAAAUACGACAUGGGAUAGCAAGCGAAAGAAAGUUAAAAGAAACAAAUCAUACCCGUACAGUGAAAGAACAAAUUUAUACUAAUGGAAAAAAAAAA